GAUGAACGCUGGCGGCGUGCCUAAUACAUGCAAGUCGAGCGAACGGACGAGAAGCUUGCUUCUCUGAUGUUAGCGGCGGACGGGUGAGUAACACGUGGAUAACCUACCUAUAAGACUGGGAUAACUUCGGGAAACCGGAGCUAAUACCGGAUAAUAUUUUGAACCGCAUGGUUCAAAAGUGAAAGACGGUCUUGCUGUCACUUAUAGAUGGAUCCGCGCUGCAUUAGCUAGUUGGUAAGGUAACGGCCUACCAAGGCAACGAUGCAUAGCCGACCUGAGAGGGUGAUCGGCCACACUGGAACUGAGACACGGUCCAGACUCCUACGGGAGGCAGCAGUAGGGAAUCUUCCGCAAUGGGCGAAAGCCUGACGGAGCAACGCCGCGUGAGUGAUGAAGGUCUUCGGAUCGUAAAACUCUGUUAUUAGGGAAGAACAUAUGUGUAAGUAACUGUGCACAUCUUGACGGUACCUAAUCAGAAAGCCACGGCUAACUACGUGCCAGCAGCCGCGGUAAUACGUAGGUGGCAAGCGUUAUCCGGAAUUAUUGGGCGUAAAGCGCGCGUANGCGGUUUUUUAAGUCUGAUGUGAAAGCCCACGGCUCAACCGUGGAGGGUCAUUGGAAACUGGAAAACUUGAGUGCAGAAGAGGAAAGUGGAAUUCCAUGUGUAGCGGUGAAAUGCGCAGAGAUAUGGAGGAACACCAGUGGCGAAGGCGACUUUCUGGUCUGUAACUGACGCUGAUGUGCGAAAGCGUGGGGAUCAAACAGGAUUAGAUACCCUGGUAGUCCACGCCGUAAACGAUGAGUGCUAAGUGUUAGGGGGUUUCCGCCCCUUAGUGCUGCAGCUAACGCAUUAAGCACUCCGCCUGGGGAGUACGACCGCAAGGUUGAAACUCAAAGGAAUUGACGGGGACCCGCACAAGCGGUGGAGCAUGUGGUUUAAUUCGAAGCAACGCGAAGAACCUUACCAAAUCUUGACAUCCUUUGACAACUCUAGAGAUAGAGCCUUCCCCUUCGGGGGACAAAGUGACAGGUGGUGCAUGGUUGUCGUCAGCUCGUGUCGUGAGAUGUUGGGUUAAGUCCCGCAACGAGCGCAACCCUUAAGCUUAGUUGCCAUCAUUAAGUUGGGCACUCUAAGUUGACUGCCGGUGACAAACCGGAGGAAGGUGGGGAUGACGUCAAAUCAUCAUGCCCCUUAUGAUUUGGGCUACACACGUGCUACAAUGGACAAUACAAAGGGCAGCGAAACCGCGAGGUCAAGCAAAUCCCAUAAAGUUGUUCUCAGUUCGGAUUGUAGUCUGCAACUCGACUACAUGAAGCUGGAAUCGCUAGUAAUCGUAGAUCAGCAUGCUACGGUGAAUACGUUCCCGGGUCU
rnacentral:rRNA from 1 species